rnacentral:rRNA from 1 species
AGAGUUCGAUUAUGGCUCAGGACGAACGCUGGCGGCGCGCCUAACACAUGCAAGUCGAACGAGAGAGAGGAAGCUUGCUUCCUCAAUCGAGUGGCGAACGGGUGAGUAACGCGUGAGGAACCUGCCUCAAAGAGGGGGGACAACAGUUGGAAACGACUGCUAAUACCGCAUAAGCCCACAGGUCGGCAUCGACCAGAGGGAAAAGGAGCAAUCCGCUUUGAGAUGGCCUCGCGUCCGAUUAGCUAGUUGGUGAGGUAAUGGCCCACCAAGGCGACGAUCGGUAGCCGGACUGAGAGGUUGAACGGCCACAUUGGGACUGAGACACGGCCCAG